rnacentral:lncRNA from 1 species
CUUCAGAGAGAGGUGGUGUAAGGAGGUCAGAUUCUAAGUGUGAUAAGGAUGUGGCAUGCCAUUGCCGGCUCUGAGAUGUAGAGGCUUGUGUGCUAGGACUGGAGAGAGACCUUAAGAGAAGAAGGGAGGCCACCAGUUGACAGCCAGCAAAGAAAUGGGCCUCAGUCCUACAGCCACAAGCAACUAAUUCUGCCAACAACCUGAAUGAGCUUGGAAGCAGAUUCUUUUCAAAGCCUUCCAGUAAGAGCCAAGCUGGCUGAUACCUUGAUUUUGGCCUCAUGAAGCCAAGAGCAGAGAAAACAGCUGAGCCAGCCUGGAUGUCUGAACUACAGACUGGUCCUGGAACCCUCUUACCUGUCAAUGACUUUCCCUCUUGGAAUUUGAGGGAACAACUGGAAUGCCCCCAGCUUUUCCCACAGAUGGAAGAUUAGCCCUGAGCUAACAGCCAUGCCACUCUUCCUCCACUUUGUAUGUGAGAUGCCUGCACAGCAUGGCUGAUAAGUGGAGUAGGUCCACACCCAGGAUCUGAACCCAUAAACCUGGGCUGCCGAAGUGGAGC